GAAUUAAAUAACGGAGAGUUUGAUCCUGGCUCAGAACGAACGCUGGCGGCGUGUUUUAAGCAUGCAAGUCGCACGGCAAGGGGCUUCGGCCCCCCAGAGUGGCGGACGGGUGAGUAACACGU
rnacentral:rRNA from 1 species